UGCCCCGUGGUGUAAUGGUAACACACUUGACUCUGAAUCAAGCGUUCUAGGUUCGAGCCCUGGCGGGGCAG
rnacentral:tRNA from 1 species